rnacentral:lncRNA from 1 species
UUUUUAUUGAUUUUAUUUUAACAGGGGCACUAUCGUUUCAUACAUACAGACUAAUGGUGUCAAGAUCAUCAUGGCGAACCGCUCCCGCGCUGACAUUUGCAUUGCCCUGCUCUCUUUGCAUCUCAGUCGAACUCUGCAUUUAGGAUGCACCUUGUGUCAUGUUCAUGCCUUGGGGCAUUAUGGUUUCAUGGGUAGAGUUUGGACUACCAUGGGCAUAGUGUUGAACGAAGCAGCAGUCGGCCGUGCACACUGUGUGACUACUAACGACGUCGGUCUUUCGUGUAGGCUUGACUUCAAAUAUCUCGGCAAGGUACGUGAUUGCUUAUACUGUAGCACAUUGUACAAGUUCACACUCAUACACAAGCACCGUGUAAUUGGAUUGUGG